rnacentral:rRNA from 1 species
GCACGUAGUUAGCCGGGGCUUAUUCUGCGGGUACCGUCAUCAUCGUCCCCGCCAAAAGAGCUUUACAACCCGAAGGCCUUCAUCACUCACGCGGCAUGGCUGGAUCAGGCUUGCGCCCAUUGUCCAAUAUUCCCCA